UCACAGUUCUUAAAGAUCAUAAUCUUAAGCUCUGAUAUUAUCCUGUCACAUUUUAUUAAUCAUAUCUUAGAGUUUUGAUAUCACUUAUAUCACAGUCCCUAGUGACCUUAAACCUAUUGAGGCUUGAACUUCAGUCCAGUUUCAUUGUUGAAAGAAAGGAGAAUUGCUUUCACUACCGCAAUACUCUCUCUUUUCCCAGUAC
rnacentral:lncRNA from 1 species